ACGAAUAAGGACUGGGCAAGACCGGUGCCAGCCGCCGCGGUAAUACCGGCAGUCCGAGUGAUGGCCGAUAUUAUUGGGCCUAAAGCGUCCGUAGCUGGCUAGACAAGUCCGUUGGGAAAUCUGCCCGCUUAACGGGCAGGCGUCCAGCGGAAACUGUCUAGCUUGGGACCGGAAGACCUGAGGGGUACGUCUGGGGUAGGAGUGAAAUCCUGUAAUCCUGGACGGACCGCCGGUGGCGAAAGCGCCUCAGGAGAACGGAUCCGACAGUGAGGGACGAAAGCUAGGGUCUCGAACCGGAUUAGAUACCCGGGUAGUCCUAGCUGUAAACGAUGUCCGCUAGGUGUGGCGCAGGCUACGAGCCUGCGCUGUGCCGUAGGGAAGCCGAGAAGCGGACCGCCUGGGAAGUACGUCUGCAAGGAUGAAACUUAAAGGAAUUGGCGGGGGAGCACUACAACCGGAGGAGCCUGCGGUUUAAUUGGACUCAACGCCGGACAUCUCACCAGCCCCGACAGUAGUAAUGACGGUCAGGUUGAUGACCUUACCCGAUGCUACUGAGAGGAGGUGCAUGGCCGCCGUCAGCUCGUACCGUGAGGCGUCCUGUUAAGUCAGGCAACGAGCGAGACCCGCACUCCUAAUUGCCAGCAGUACCCUUUGGGUAGCUGGGUACAUUAGGGGGACUGCCGCUGCUAAAGCGGAGGAAGGAACGGGCAACGGUAGGUCAGUAUGCCCCGAAUGGGCUGGGCAACACGCGGGCUACAAUGGUCGAGACAAUGGGAAGCCACUCCGAGAGGAGGCGCUAAUCUCCUAAACUCGAUCGUAGUUCGGAUUGAGGGCUGAAACUCGCCCUCAUGAAGCUGGAUUCGGUAGUAAUCGCGUGUCAGCAGCGCGCGGUGAAUACGUCCCUGCUCCUUGCACACACCGCCCGUCAAAU
rnacentral:rRNA from 1 species